rnacentral:rRNA from 1 species
CCUACGGGAGGCUGCAGUGAGGAAUAUUGGUCAAUGGACGCUAGUCUGAACCAGCCAAGUAGCGUGAAGGAUGACUGCCCUAUGGGUUGUAAACUUCUUUUGUAUGGGAAUAAACUCCGGUAUGUAUACUGCUUUGCAUGUACCUUAUGAAUAAGGAUCGGCUAACUCCGUGCCAGCAGCCGCGGUAAUACGGAGGAUUCGAGCGUUAUCCGGAUUUAUUGGGUUUAAAGGGAGCGUAGGCGGGUUGUUAAGUCAGUUGUGAAAGUUUGCGGCUCAACCGUAAAAUUGCAGUUGAUACUGGCAGCCUUGAGUACAGUAGAGGUAGGCGGAAUGCGUGGUGUAGCGGUGAAAUGCUUAGAUAUCACGAAGAACCCCGAUUGCGAAGGCAGCCUACUGGACUGUAACUGACGCUGAUGCUCGAAAGUGUGGGUAGCAAACAGGAUUAGAUACCCCUGUAGUC